UGAGUAACGCGUGAGGAACCUGCCUUCCAGAGGGGGACAACAGUUGGAAACGACUGCUAAUACCGCAUGACACAUGACCGUGGCAUCACGGACAUGUCAAAGAUUUAUCGCUGGAAGAUGGCCUCGCGUCUGAUUAGCUAGUAGGCGGGGUAACGGCCCACCUAGGCGACGAUCAGUAGCCGGACUGAGAGGUUGACCGGCCACAUUGGGACUGAGAUACGGCCCAGACCCCUACGGAAGGCAGCAG
rnacentral:rRNA from 1 species